rnacentral:tRNA from 1 species
GAGGGGGUCAUAAGAUCUGCUAAAUCUUUAACCUGGCACUAACCAUCCAGCCCCCUCU